UACGGAGGAGGCAAGCGUUAUCCGGAAUUAUUGGGCGUAAAGCGUCCGUAGGUGGCUAGUCAAGUCUGCGGUCAAAGACUGGGGCUUAACCCUGGAAAGGCCGUGGAAACUGACGAGCUAGAGUGCAGUAGGGGUAGGAGGGAAUUCCCGGGUGUGAGCGGUGAAAUGCGUAGAGCUCGGGAAGAACAUCGGUGGCGAAAGCGCUCUACUGGACUGCAACUGACACUCAGGGACGAAAGCUAGGGGAGCGAAUGGG
rnacentral:rRNA from 1 species